AACGUAGGAGGCGAGCGUUAUCCGGAUUUACUGGGUGUAAAGCGCGUGCAGGCGGUUGGGGAAGUUGGAUGUGAAAGCUCCUGGCUCAACUGGGAGAGGUCGUUCAAAACUGCCCGACUAGAGGAUGGUAGGGGAAGGUGGAAUUCCGGGAGUAGUGGUGAAAUGCGUAGAGAUCCGGAGGAACACCAGUGGCGAAGGCGGCCUUCUAGACCAUUACUGACGCUCAGACGCGAAAGCUAGGGUAGCAAACGGG
rnacentral:rRNA from 1 species